rnacentral:rRNA from 1 species
GACGAACGCUGGCGGCGUGCUUAACACAUGCAAGUCGAACGGAAAGGCCCUGCUUUUGUGGGGUGCUCGAGUGGCGAACGGGUGAGUAACACGUGAGUAACCUGCCCUUGACUUUGGGAUAACUUCAGGAAACUGGGGCUAAUACCGGAUAGGAGCUCCUGCUGCAUGGGGGGGGUUGGAAAGUUUCGGCGGUGGGGGAUGGACUCGCGGCUUACCAGCUGGUUGGUGGGGUAGGGGCUUACCAAGGCUUUGACGGGUAGCCGGCCUGAGAGGGGGACCGGCCACAUUGGGACUGAGAUACGGCCCAGACUCGUACGGGAGGCAGCAGGGGGGAGUAUUGCACAAUGGGCGGAAGCCUGAUGCAGCAACGCCGCGUGCGGGAUGACGGCCUUCGGGUUGUAAACCGCUUUCGCCUGUGACGAAGCGUGAGUGACGGUAAUGGGUAAAGAAGCACCGGCUAACUACGUG